rnacentral:rRNA from 1 species
UACGUAGGGUGCAAGCGUUAAUCGGAAUUACUGGGCGUAAAGAGCGCGCAGGCGGUCGGCCAAGUCGAGUGUGAAAGCCCCCGGCUCAACUGGGGAGGGUCAUUCGAUACUGGUCGACUCGAAGGCAGGAGAGGGAAGCGGAAUUCCCGGUGUAGUGGUGAAAUGCGUAGAUAUCGGGAGGAACACCAGUGGCGAAGGCGGCUUCCUGGCCUGUUCUUGACGCUGAGGCGCGAAAGCUAGGGGAGCAAACGGG